rnacentral:lncRNA from 1 species
GUUACCGGAUUUAUCUGCAAAGACUAAUGGAACAAUGGCGUGUGAUCGUGAUCACUGUUGGCUGUGAUGGAUGUUCUGCGAUCAUUAGAGUGGGUUGUAAUUUCUCUUAUCUUCUGUUUCUCUGGACCAUACACCAACUUGGUUGCCAUGGCCAGUUGGUUUUUACUAUUGUGAUGGUCCAAGUUCUAAAUGGAGAGAGGUUUUUAAACCUCGUUUAAAGCAUAUGACUGGACAUGGUGGUUCUGUUUCUUUUUUUAUUUCAUCUCUAGUCAAGUCCCUCUCCUCUGAUCAGGACCACAACAGUCAUUCGAAGCUUGAGAACGUAAGUCCCUUAUCUUUUUGGUUUGUGUGACACGACGAUAGCAGAUCAAAACAUAGACAACAGUGGAAAAGUGACAAUAUUGAACCUGGAUUUGCUAAUGUAAUUGAACACAGUUGGAAUUUCUAAUACAAUCAACCAUAGCUGAAUUUGCCAAACAAUGGAGCAUAGUUUUAGUUUAUUUGCAUCAUAACAUUGGUCUUCUCUAGUGUCAUGGGUUUGAUUGAUCUAGCAUUCCUGGCCCUCCAAGUUAGCCUUACUCACUCACAAGUGGCUUUAAAGAGAGAAGCUCUAGAUUAUAUUUCACUUGUGAUUGAGAUGAUACAAUGAGGGGAGGAGGUUUAGAGAUCCCCUUUUGAUCUAUAUUAUAUUUCACUUGAGAUGAUACAAUGAGAGGGAGGAAGUUCCUACAUAUAAAGAUCCCCUCUUAAUCUAAUGGUGGAAAUUGCAUCUCCCUAACUACCAACUAUUAGUAUUUAUUACAUAUGUAUACAAUUAUCAUAUUUUAUUAUAUAGCCUGUUCCCAAGAGUGUCCUAGAAUAUUCAAGAAAACCCUAAGACUUCAGGAGAUAGGUUGAGGGUCGUUCGUUUAUGGAUUGAUCAUGGUCUUCAUUCGGAAAACCUCUGCAUCAUGUCAAUUCAUCAGGUUGUGUGACACCAGAAUCUACCUUCCACUGACACUGCCUAGAAGCAAAAAAGAAAGACAAACAACACCACAUUUCCAAUCCAACAUUGUUGCCAGUCCAAGGCAAUGGAAGUGGUGUUUUUUUUGUCCAACUUCAAAACCAGCAUUGCGCACAUCAAUCCCGCUCAAUACCACUGUGCCUCUCAAACGCAUUUUCCCUUUGCUUCCAGUUGAAAUGCUUCCACUUGUGUCCUUUUUUUUUUUUUUUUUUAAAUCGUUUACUCCUUUCUAGCUGCAUUUGGAGAAUGUGGGUUUCUCCUCAAAUACUUCAACUAACUUUUUUAUACUUUCAGUCUAUUUUCCAACACCUUCUGUUCAAUGAUCAAUCCACAAAUCGAUUCCCUGUCACGAGAUGAGGGCUUAUGAUCAAUCCAUUUGAAAAAACCGCAAUCACCAAUCUACCCAAUACAAGCAAGUAAUUUAGAUUACAGCACAAAAUAAUGCACAACACUAACACGGAACCGAACAAUUUGAUUGGUGAAUGGAACGACGUGAACUCGUAAUUGGAGAAUUCGGAGAUGGUUUUCAACGAAUGAAAACCAUCAACUUGUUACCCUCGGUCUCACGAAUAAUAUACUGAAAUUUGAGUCGAUUCCGUCAAUAUUUGACAUUCGAAAAUUAUAGCCCUCUUCUUUUCUUCUCUUCUCCUUUACUUUUACAGUUUUUGUUUUCUCUUUUUUCUAUUUCUCUUUUUUCUAUUCACGUUUUAGAUGCACACUAGGGUGUCAGGUUUACUUUUACGGUUUUUGUUUUCUCUUUUUUCUUUUUAUGUUUUAGAUGAAUACUAGGGUGUGAGUGUACCUGAGUUGAAAACCGAACUAAGCAAAAUUUUUCGAUUCGAUUCUCGUUAAAAGCCUGCCAAGACAGAAGAUGGAGAGAUAGGUCACCCCAUGGACAUCAAUAUACCGGACAAUGUCAUGGAGGAUCCAGAACCCGAGUCGGUUGGGUUCGGGGUGUAUGUGACCUGCCUCAGUGUCUAGGCGAAAGGUCAAGCUAGGGCUGCCCCCGGCCACCUUGAGAAUCCCCCUCUACAUACCCGACCGCCCAUGGUCCAAUAUGGAUGGGGAAAAUCGAGAAACCAGAGAGACCAACAGAGUUGCGAUUAAUAUUUUUUUAUUGGUUCGUUUUGAUCACCAACCCACAAACCGAUAAAAUUAAACAAUUAAAAAUUCGGUUUUUAUUUCCCUCGACGACCGGACCUCCCCACAUCGUAAACCCGUAAUCUCUCUCUCUAGUUUCUCCCUCUCUCUCUCUAGCUCGCUCGCCCGCUUGCUAGCGAUUGACGGCGCUCGCUCGCUCGCCAGCUUCCGUUUUUCUCUCCGGCGAUCUCGGCAUGUAAGGCUCUGAACCUCGAUCGUCCAUCGAGACAUCGUGGAUUUCCCUCCGCUUUCUGUCCUUUUAGGGUUUUUCGACGACGCUUGCUCGCGAUUGACGGCGCUCGCUCGCCAGCUUCCGUUUUUCUCUCCGGCGAUCUCGGCAUGUAAGGCUCUGAACCUCGAUCGUCCGUCGAGACGCCGUCGAUUUCCCUCUGCUUUCUGUCCUUUUAGGGUUAUUCGACGACGCUUGCUCGCGAUUGACGGCGCUCGCUCGCCGGCUUCCGUCUUUCUCUCCGGCGCUCUCGGCAUGUAAGGCUCUGAACCUCCAUCGUCCGUCAACACGCCGUCGAUUUCCCUCUGCUUUCUGUCCUUUUAGUUUUUCGAGUCGUCGUCGUUCAUUUUUUAGUCAUUUGUACCUCCUCUUUUUCUUUUUUCUCUUUUUUGAAUUUUUUGUGAAUUUUUCUCGGUCGAGAUUGCUGUUUUGCUCUGUCCGGACGUCGUUUUCUAGCAGCAGCGAGUUUCGACCUCACAUUUUUUCUCUUUUGUUUUGUUUUUUUUUUCCUUUCGACUUUGUCCGUCGUUUUUCGCGCGUGAGAUUUCGGAUGCCAUUUGCUCUGAAUUUGCUUUUGCCGACGAGGUGCUUGCGAUUCGGAAUCUGUUUCAUCGUUCUGUUUUCGGGUCGUGCCGAUCAUUUUCUGUGCAGGCAUGUACCGGCCGCAUCUCAUGAAUUAUCGACGGAAUAGCUUGGCUUGGCUGUAGCAUGGCUGAUUCGGCUUUUUUUAUAUGGCUUGUUGGGGCUUUUGCUUGAGAUCGCAUACUUGGCUUUUGUUUUGUUUCUUUCGGUUUUUAAAACGCCUCACUGAGAAUUUAAAAAAAGAAAGAGAAAAAAAAAAACCGAAAAUCAAAAACUGAAAAUCAAAAAUCAAAAAAUCGAAUCGAACCAAUACUCCUAAUGACCAUCACUUUCACUUCUUUUUGUUAUUUUAUUUUAUUUUAUAUUAUUUAAUGCUAGUUGGGCCGAAGGUGGACCCAGCUAACAGAUUCCACGUGCUGCAUGGCGCCACGUGUCAAUAUAAAAUGCCAAAAAACACGCCGUGAAUGAUCGAUGGUGGUCUGAAAAGCACGAGAUAUUUUCUGGUCCGGAUGAGAAAGGGUAGGGUAGGAUGAGAUGAGAACAGCCACCAUGAUUUUUUUUUUUUUUUGGGUCGGUUCUAUUCUAAUCUUAUUCUAAUACUCACUCUCAGACUUUUAUUCUGCCUUAUUGUAAAGUGUAUAAAAUCAUUCUCACCCAAAUCCCUAUGAGAAGGUGGGGAUUUGAACCUCUACCUCUUCCUUCUAAGUUGUAAGGGUGGUCACGGGAGAGAAGAAAGAUUGGUAGAGAGAGAAGGAGACACACGUGGCUUUUCUCUUCAUGAAGGGGGCGGUGCAUGGUAUGUCCCACUAACCCCCCAUCUGAAGAGUGGCCGAGCCCCACUUCCCUCCCUUCUCCCUUUCCUUCGGCCACAGCCCUUAGCGAGCCGAGGAGACGCGAAGGUCGAAGAACUGCGACUUCCAGUUCCUGGAGCUGCGAUCUGCGGCUCCAUAAAUGGCGAAGUCGUAGCAAUAAUGGAGUGAAUUGGACCUUUCCUGACAUGAAGCUGACAUUUUCUGUUCGCUUUAGUGGUUUCAUUGCUUUUUUAUGUUGACAUGCUGAUUUUGUCGAGAGAUAUAUAUAUGAAUAUGAAUGUUUAAGAUGAUGAACUUGAAAGUAGGGACAUCUAUGUGGCAUUCAUGCUCUUCGGAACCUUUGGAUUGCAUUCUCACACUCCGGUAAUUAUUAACUGCAGCUGCUUGUUUCCUUCUUAAAAUCACCCCUCCUUGCUGCUGCUUUUGCGAAGAAAAUGAGUCGACUAGCACUCUCCGGGCUUCAACUAGCACCCUCUGUGCUUCCAGCUGGGGCGCUGGUUAUUGUUUUCUUCUAUCCACAAUCUCUUACGACAGGCAUCCUUUCAUUGGUGCACAGGGUACGUACUUUUGGCUUUUGCACCUGGGUUAAUUUUUUUGUUCUUUUUUUUUUAACUCCAGUCCCUUAAUAACCGUCGCAUUUAGUUUUACCUUUUGCUUGAUAUAAAUCGUGUGGCUCGUGCAUUUUGCUUUUUUUUUUUUUUUUUCAAAUAUAGACUCUGGAAACCUCCUCAAUACUCAAGUUUUGACAUGUAGAUUCACAUUAUAAUUUUCUGAGAUCCUAAUAAUGUUUUAAAGUUUGGAAGCAAACGAACAUUUCUUAUUCUUUGAUCCAAUGUGUGUGCUAUGCAUACAAUCUCACCAGCUCUGCGGUGAGUGGUUUUAUAAGUUCCCUGAAAUAUUUUGGAACUCUUUUUACCUCCUCCUACGAUUCUUUUAUUCCAACCCCACUUUGGGAGAAAAUGGCUUCACCAUAUUCGGAUAUACUACCUCUUAAUAAUUGACCUAAAGACAUUUUGUACCGUCUAGUGAGAAAGGAUGGAUUGUAGGGUUGGUGCUUAUCUAUUUUGUCUGAGCUGCAUUUUUGGCAGCAGAUAUAUUUUUUAUUUUGGUUAAAUGUUGGCUCUAUUGGUUGUGUUAAGAUAGUGAUAUGUAUAAGAAAGGCAUUAAGGGUGCAUUUUCCGGAAAAUCAACUUUCAGGAAAGUAGAUAAUUUUCUUUUGUUUGGUGAUAUAUGGUUAAAAAUGUUUUUUGGUGUUUGGAUAUCAUUUGGCAAGUGAUUUUAUUUCAUGACAAAAUAAAAAAUAAAAAAAUUCAAAUAAUUUUUAUUUUUAUUAUAUAUAUAUAUAUAUAUAUAUUUUUUUUUUUUCCCCUUCCGCUGAUCACUGAGGGUCGGGCUCGCCUAAGGCCUGCUGGCCUAAGAAUAAGAAGGAAAAUGAGAAAAAUAGUUAAAAGAAAAAGAAAAAGAAAAUAAAAAUAUCAAACAUUUUCAGCGUAAAAGUGCGAAACAUUAAUUUCAUCCUAAAAAUUUACUUUAAGAAGCACGUAAGUCGUAAAGGUAAGGUCGCCAAUUGGGGCUUGUGCCAUUCUUUCCAGGUACGCGUGACAUAUUUUAUUAUUAUAAAAAAUAAUCUUUGUCUUGAAGGAGGAGUCCAGUAAAAAAACGGCGACCAGGAGUCUUUUACAACCCCAUCGUCUACUCCGCCUCCUCCUCCUCCUCCUCCUCCUGGCCUCCCUGCUCUCGGCGACCGUCCCCGUGGCUCUCGGCGAGGUUGGCACAGCUUCGUACUAUGGCCCUCCCUAUGAUCGUAAGUCUCGAACCCCCCCUAAUAACAAGAAGAAGAGAAGGAGAAAAGAGCUUUGCCAUAUAAACCUUUUUCUUGCCCUUGAUUCAGGGACGGAGUGCUACGGCGAGGGCUCAUCCCAGUUCCUGGAAAGCAACCUGUUCGCGGCCGUGGGCGACGGACUAUGGGACCUUGGGGCGGCGUGCGGCAGGGAGUACGAGGUGCGGUGCAUCAGCAAGGCGCAGUCUGGCCCUGGACACUGCAAACCCGGCGCCAGCACUAUCCGGGUCAAGGUCGUUGACUACGCCCUCUCGGUUGAGUCCUCCGCCGCCGCCCCCAGGCAGUCCGUGACCGGCGCUGAUUUGGUCCUGUCUCAGGCCGCAUUCGAAGCUAUUGGCAAUCCGUUCGUGGAUUCGAUCAGCGUGGAGUUCAAGGAGUUAUAGCAAGAUUGGAGUCUACACUGUCGAAGUGGAUCUUUGCAGAGAUGUUCCCUCCUUGUCGCUGAUUUUAAGUUUUAGAAAAAAAGCUACCAAAGAUCAUAGAUUAUAGCAAUGCCUCGGAUUCGUAUCCGUUUGGGACAUUUUUACUAUCUGUUCUGAUGUCGAUGAGUAUCGUUAAAAAUUCUACAUGACGGCUAAGUGGACGAUGGAAUGCAAAUGGUACUAACGCGGCGCUCAUAUGGAGUAAGUGAAAGAGGAACUGUUUUCCUUUUAUAUUAAUGGAAUGUUGCCGUGUUCUUCAUCUCUUUUUGUUUUGGGGUUUAGGGUUCUUCAUAGAAGUCGGUUGCUCUACAUCUCUCUUGGUUGCUCCACUAUAACUAGACAAAAUAUUGAUUGCUCAUGGGAAGUAGCAAAAUUCAUGGCUAAAAAAUCACUCCCUGCCUGAUUUGUAGCUGAACUCUCUCUGCCACGAUUGAUGAUUUGGGGUCUAGGGUUCUUCCUUGAUUUCUUGAAACCUACGAUUGCUUCAGAGAAGAAACUUGAUUCGAUUAUUCAAAGCCAUCAUAUUCUUGGCGUUCUCGAUUCAUCAACAACCUAACGAGUUUUUUUUUUUGGUUGAUGUGGGUGUACCUUGAUUUCCUUGUUAGGCUACUAUAGUGAUUCUGAAUUCCAACCUUGCUCUUUCCCGAUUCACUUGGUGAUUGUUUCGAGAGUUGAACUUUUGAGCUGAUUUGCAGCAUCUUUAGGCUUUAUGCUUCUAGUAUAAAAUGUAAGCUGUCGAGACGUGGGCAGCAAAAAUAAAACUAAAAGGACUUUUUAGUUCCUAAAUCUCAUGGUUUAAGUAAGUGGAGUGCAGCUAAGCAAACAAAAGGCUUUGAAUGAAUAUUUAGAUGCGAUCCCUAUUCAUUCUACUGUUUCUGAAAUGAAUUGUUCUACGUGAUAUUAGCCACAUCCAAUUUUCUGCGAUUUGAUGUUUCUUGUGCAAUCUGUGUAUAGCUUAUUGAGUUUGGUGAAUUGAUACUUAUCUCUUGCGUAGAUUCACUUGAGCUUGCUCCAUGCUNNNNNNNNNNNNNNNNNNNNNNNNNNNNNNNNNNNNNNNNNNNNNNNNNNNNNNNNNNNNNNNNNNNNNNNNNNNNNNNNNNNNNNNNNNNNNNNNNNNNGCAAAGACUAAUGGACAACGGCGGGUGAUUGCGAUCACUGUUGGCUGUGAUGGAUGUUCUGUGAUCAUUAGAGUGGGUUGUAAUUUCCUCUUUUCUUCUGUUUCUCUGGACCAUACACCAACUUGGUUGCUAAUGGCCAGUUGGUUUUUAACGUUGUAAUGAUCCAAGUUCUAAAUGGAGAGAGGUUUUUAAGCCUCGUUUAAAGCAUAUGACUGGAGAUGGUGGUUCC